AUUGAACGCUGGCGGCAGGCCUAACACAUGCAAGUCGAGCGAGCGGCGGACGGGUGAGUAAUGUCUGGGAAACUGCCUUAUGGAGGGGGAUAACUACUGGAAAAGGUAGCUAAUACCGCAUACUAUCAGAUGUGCCCAGAUGGGAUUAGCUAGUAGGUGGGGUAACGGCUCACCAAGGCGACGAUCCCUAGCUGGUCUGAGAGGAUUACCAGCCACAAUGGAAAUGGGACACGGUCCAGACUCCUACGGGAGGCAGCAGUGGGGAAUAUUGCACAAUGGGCGCAAGCCUGAUGCAGCCAUGCCGCGUGUAUGAAGAAGGCCUUCGGGUUGUAAAGUACUUUCAGCGGGGAGGCGUUACCCGCAGAAGAAGCACCGGCUAACUCCGUGCCAGCAGCCGCGGUAAUAC
rnacentral:rRNA from 1 species